rnacentral:rRNA from 1 species
GACGUAGGGCGCGAGCGUUGUCCGGAUUUAUUGGGCGUAAAGAGCUCGUAGGCGGCUCAUUGCGUCAACCGCGAAAUCCUGCUGCUCAACGGCAGGUCUGCGGUUGAUACGGGUGGGCUGGAGUUCGGUAGGGGAGACUGGAAUUCCUGGUGUAGCGGUGAAAUGCGUAGAUAUCAGGAGGAACACCUGCGGUGUAGACGGCUUACUGGACCAUAACUGACGCUGAGGCACGAAAGCGUGGGGAGCGAACAGG